GCGGGCGUGGUGCACGGUGCACUCCUUCAUUUCAUGUUACAAUCCAUAGGAAGUGUUGAAGGCUGUCGGGGUUCGACUCCCCGCGUCCGCA